CUCAAUGGCACAACACUUGUCUGUAUUUUUUUUCAAAGUGUAAAUAAUUUAUUCAGAAAGGCCUCACUUGGCACCAGACUAAAAAAGGAGGUCCCUCCCCUGAGACUUAGAUGCACCUCUAAGUCUUUGAGGGUUCGGCAGAGGACCCCAUCCUUGACGACAUCUCUGAGUCAUCCCUGGGAUUCCUGUGGUGUCAGGGUCAGGGUCCACCAGGCUCCCAGGGGCACCUUGCUCUGGCCCCACCUGGCUUUCUGGGUCUUAUGGCCCAUUCUCAUCCUUUUGGGCCUCAGGGCUCUCUGAAGUCGUAGGAAGUGGGGCAUGGACCUGCAGGUCAGUGUGAUAGUUACUGGCUACUCAAUCACCCUCAGCCCUCUUCUCCAUCUUUCUCCGUUUUCUUGUCUCAUCAGCCACACUGGUCCCAUGGGUAACAGGGUAGGCCUGGUUAGCUUCCCAGGGUUUUUGGCUGACAGAGCUGAGGGCACACCCCUCAAGGUUGAGGGCAGUUUUUUCUACAUCUGACGCCCCUGGGACCUGCUCCUGCCUCUUCUCCUCUGCUUCCUCUUCUUGCUCUCUUUGGAGCUCAGUGACUCAGUCUCAUCCCCCUGGGCCUCAUCCAGGGCUCCCGAUUCCUGGGGCUUUGUGCUCAGCAAUGAGGGAUCCUCAGCUUUUCCACUGCUCCCACUCAGGUCCCUUCCAGAUCCAUAGGUCUGACCCUGGGUGCCAGCCUCUUGGAAAGGCUUCCCGGAGCCCUCAUCCUUAUCUGCCUGUCCUAG
rnacentral:lncRNA from 1 species